rnacentral:lncRNA from 1 species
AAUGUCUAAUUCAGGGAGGUUUAUAUUCUUGAAAUGGCCGCCUGGCUUUCCCCGCCUCUCAUGUUUAGUAAUUCAGACCUUUAAUAACAGCCACUCACAGCCCAACGCCGUGUUUAUAUUUUACAUUCGCCCCAUGUGCUUUUGUGGUUCGAUAUGAUUCUUUUUUUUUUUUUUUCCUUCUCCUCCUCCUUGGCAAUCCACAGGACUCUGAGAUCAAACCCAGUCUGUGCUGGGAAGACAAGGAGAGAACUAGGCCUGGACUGCCCUAGUUGCCUAGGCCCUGUUCUCUGCUGCUUGAUUUAUUUACUAAUAACCAAAAUGACUCCCCCAUCAACUGCCACUCGAGUCCCCUCCUCCGCAGGCAAAACACAUCCUCUUGGGGACCUUCCAGCAUAAAAACAGCUCCGAGCUAAGCAUCAGCUCUGAGGUUGGCUUGUUUUCUUCUAAAAGGAGUUUAUCUUUCAGUUCAUAGUAUGUGGACCUUAUUUCCAAUUUACAGAGGCUUCUGUGAGCUACUGGUUUAGUACAAAUACAGGACUUUGUUGUGGGAAUAGUCACUCUCUUCCUGAGUUAACUCGGUCAGGCUAUGUAAAGAUUUGUAGUAUUUGUAAAACCGGCAGACUUCCCUUUCAGGAGUGAUGGAGUAGCGAGGUAUUUUAGAAAGUCCGGCUGACAACACUUGGAUACUCUCUCAGCAGGGCUGCUUUUCCAGUUUCUGCACCAACUUGAAGGGAGGCCGGCAUUCUUGUGCUGUUACUGACAUAGACCUGCCUGUUUUAAUUGCAGCAGUAUGGAAAACAGAAAUGGGGUUAUGUUUUCCUUGGUCAUGGUUAAAUGAGUGAAAAUAGAAGAUAAACAGAGGCAUUGUGUCCACUCUGAUCUUGGAACUUGCUUAGCCUGCUGGCCUCUUGCUUUAAGGUGUCAGAAUUGAUUUUUGUUUUUUCUAGGCUUAGGACAUUUGGCCUAUGAGAGCCAAUUAACUUUUACUGUUUAGAGAAAACAGUAAUUUUGAUUUCUGGUCUCUCCUGUAAGUUUUGUUUUAAAAGGAUAAAAGGGUGGUGCUUUCUGGGGGGUGUUUGAGGUACCUUGUUAAUGGCUAAGUCCUGGUGAUUACAUUAAACCAUCAUGGGGAAUAUAUGAAGACAUUAGACUUCAGUUAAUUUGUAACAAAAUUUCAGAUUUAGGUGAGGAACUGCAGGCUAAUUUAAAAUAACUACUUCUCACAAUUUUUAUUUUUCCUUCUUUCACAUCCAAGUAGGUAGGCCCUGAAUGCAAUAGAGGGUAAAGGUUUCCUGAGAAUGCUCAGGUAAACAACCGAUUCAGCACUGAAACAGGAGGUUGGAUGGACAAAAAGCAGUAAUAUGGUUUCAUGCCUUAAAUAGCAUAUGUUUUUGCACCCAGUUCCCAAGAAGUGGUCAGACUGAUGAUGUCAUUGGACAGAGGACAAGGUGCAGUUACUGUGAUUUAUUGUCCUGAGGUGAAGUAUAGCAAUGGAACUUCUCAUAGGGAAACCAUUUAUCUCUGGACAAUUUCCUUUAUAGCUGCAGUUUAACCACUACUGGGGCUCUAGGUAUUUUAUCCAAAAUGCACACUGUACUUUACAAACAAAGCUCACUGUUACAGUUUUUGUCAUACAGAAAAAAAUAUGGGUAUUGUGAGCUGGCCUUUUAUUUCAGUUGGCUGUCCUUGCCAUAGUAAAAAAUCACUUCCGAUGGGGAGUUUGGAUUUAAAUGAGGAUACUUGUGCUACAUACACCUGCUUAUUUUAUGUGGGGUUUGUUGUUAUUGCUGUUUAUAAUCUUUCUCUUACAAGAAACUACUUCUGAAUCCCAGUAUGGCCCAGGCUUGUGGAGUGUUCUGGAGCCUAUUUUAAUGACUAAAACGGAGUUGAAGAAAAUGAGGGCACUAUAUUUUUAUGUUAAAAUUAUAGUAUUUAAAAUAAUGUAAAACACUUAUGGGGAGGCUUGUGCUUUGAAGUAGCUUUUAAAGAAUCUAGAAUUCUUUUUGGAUUUGUCUGCACAUGUUUGUACAUUUACUGUGAAUGGUGUUUUAAAAAUCUCCUUUCAAAGUAGUGAUUUGCAUACACAGUUUUUGACAUUAAUUUUUGUAAGCAUUUCUUCUGUUUCUUAAUGGGCAUCUUAAAGACAUGGUUAAGAUUGGGCCGUGACUGGGAAGGCCGCCGACUCUUGGAGCUGAUGCAUUAGGUGCGCUCAGCUCACUCAGUGCUCAGGUCAUUCUGCAGCUCGGCAGCCUCCAACCUGCCAGGCUCCUGUUGAAGUUGUCAGACAACUUCCUAGUACAAGUUUCUAGAAAAUCGGCUGCUACUUUCUUGAGUUGCCCCACCCAUUAAUUAUAAUGGGAUUUCUGAAUUAAGGUCUUUGACAUUCAUGACAGCUGACCAAAUGUUCUUCAUUUCUGAAGGAUUUAUGUUUCCAAGUGUUUACUGUAAAAGUAACUUUUAGCCUCUUCCCCCCCAUUUCACUUUUGAUUUAUUUUUGUUGGGGAAAAAAGCCACAAGUCAAGGAAAGCACAAACAGUGGUUGUUCAGUUGUAACGGUGUAAUGCUUUUGUUCCUAUUUUAAAUCUGUUAUUCUCUAUAUCAGUCGGCACUAGAUAGCCAAAGAAAGAAAAUUGUUUCAGUGCUGCCCUACUUUGACCUAAUUGCUAAUCACUUGAUCAGUUGCCUUUGAGUGAGUUUAGGGCUCAGAAUGCCAACCUACCUUUACCAGGUCACCAAAGAUAUGUAAUAGAGCCCUGAAUAGCACAGGCAAGUGCUUUAAAAUGAUGGAACUGAGAAUACUUUCUUAAAUGUAUUUCAUUUAAGAAUGAAAUAUUUGAAUUGUUUCUUGAAUCUGUGUUGCUUGAUCUUGACAUGUAGAAGUGUGGGAAUUAAAUGAAGAAUUUCCUUUGCACUGAGAAGACUCUAUGUAGUCUUGUGUAGGGGCAUUGCUUUGCUCUUCUUCUUCUUCUUCCUCUUCCUCCUCUUAUUUUCAGUGUUGGAAACCACAGUCAUUCCAUGUUUUUCCUGAUGGACAUGAUUUCAUUUGGAGCCAUUCAAGUAACUUUUGUUAGAGAAUAGAAUAAACUAGAACAGAUAACAUACACCCAGUUUUGGUGAUAAAUGUCUGGACGGACAUAUCAUUUGUCAUAGAAAUCCAACAUUAGGUGUUAGAGUGAAAAUUGGGACUUGGCUCAGUGACAUGACUCUCUAUUUCACUUUCUGUAUUCUCCCUGAGUUAAUCUCUGCCCCCGUGGUGGCUUUGCUUUUAUUUUUGGUAUUGGGAUUUGUUAUAGCCCAUGCUGGCCUUCAAUUCUCCACUUACUUGCCUUAGCCUCUUGUGAGCUAAACUUCACCCUCCUUUUGUAAGAAAACUCUGGGUCAGAAUUUUAAAUAAUUGUUUUCCCACCAUGCCAUCUAAAUAGCUCUUUUUAAGUGGUUAAAAGAGGUAAUAAUUAUAGUUCAUAAAGAAUAGCAAUUUCUUUAUGCAACUUUCAGAAAGUGUAUUUUUGACAUCUUCAUUUUGUGAAUGAGGACAAUUGAGCUGAUUUUUAAAUAAGUGUGGUUUAUUUUUUACACUAACAUACUUGUGUCUUAAACUGACAGUGAGCUUUUUAUAUAAGCUCUUAGAGUGGUAACAGCAGUGGCCAGGAGUCUUAUCAGGUGGAGCCCUGGCCUGACUGAUCCUGUCACAGUGGAUUUAGAAUUUAAAGGAUGAGAAUGGCUUUGAGUUUCUGAACCUUUGGCUUGAAGAAACUUGUUGCAUGUGCAUGCUGCUUACAAAGACUCGUGUCGUUACUAUUAGUGCUUGAGUGGUUGAGGACUGAUAGGCUGUCUUUAUAUACUUAGUGACGGCUGCAGCUUAUUUCUUCUUUAAUAAUUUCACUCCUAGCAUUCGUUGUUGAGUAAAUUUUACAAAACUAGUAAUUGAGCAAAGGGAGAUUCAAGAGUUGUUUAGCUGUCUAAGAUUCUCCUUUGAAAUGUUGUCUAGAAAAUUGAAUAUUUACUUAGGGAGGAUAUAGUGUAUUAAUUUUUU